AGGUCAAGCUACAAAGGGCGCAUGGUGAAUGCCUUGGCAUCAGGAGCCGAUGAAGGACGUGAUAAGCUGCGAUAAGCUUCGGGUAGGCGCACAUAGCCUGAGAUCCGAAGAUCUCCGAAUGAGGAAACUCACAUGGGAAACCCCAUGUAUCAUUAAGUGAAUACAUAGCUUAAUGAAGGUAACCCAGGGAACUGAAACAUCUAAGUACCUGGAGGAAGAGAAAGAAAAAUCGAUUUUCUUAGUAGCGGCGAGCGAAAGGGAAAGAGCCCAAACCGGAAACUUGUUUCCGGGGUUGUGGACAUAACAUAAAAGUGGAGGCUAUUGUAACUGAAGAGAACUGGAAAGUUCCACCGUAGAAGGUAAUAGUCCUGUAAGUGAAACGAGAAGACCACGAGUUAUGAUCCAGAGUACCACGAGACACGUGAAACCUUGUGGGAAGCAGGGAGGACCACCUCCCAAGGCUAAAUACUACCUGAUGACCGAUAGUGAAGCAGUACCGUGAGGGAAAGGUGAAAAGAACCCCGGGAGGGGAGUGAAAUAGAACCUGAAACCGUGUGCCUACAACCGCUCAGAGCCCCUUAUGAGGGUGAUGAGGUGCUUUUUGUAGAACGAGCCAACGAGUUACGGUAUGUAGCAAGGUUAAGUACUUAAGGUACGGAGCCGAAGGGAAACCGAGUCUGAAUAGGGCGACUAGUUGCAUGCCGUAGACCCGAAACCGGGUGACCUAUCCAUGGCCAGGUUGAAGCGAGGGUAAAACCUCGUGGAGGACCGAACCACGUUGCUGUUGAAAAAGCAUGGGAUGAGCUGUGGAUAGCGGAGAAAUUCCAAUCGAACCCGGAGAUAGCUGGUUCUCUCCGAAAUAGCUUUAGGGCUAGCGUCGAGUAUGAGUAGUGGAGGUAGAGCACUGAAUGGGCUAGGGGGCAUAGCGCUUACCGAACCUUAUCAAACUCCGAAUGCCACAUACUUUGAGCUCGGCAGUCAGACUACGAAUGAUAAGAUCCGUGGUCAAAAGGGAAACAGCCCAGAUCGUCAGCUAAGGUCCCAAAGUGUAAGUUAAGUGGGAAAGGAUGUGAGAUUUCUAAGACAACUAGGAUGUUGGCUUAGAAGCAGCCAUUCAUUAAAAGAGUGCGUAAUAGCUCACUAGUCGAGAGAUCUUGCGCCGAAAAUGUAACGGGGCUAAACUUACCACCGAAGCUACGGGCUUGAACUUAGUUCAAGCGGUAGGAGAGCGUCGUAACCGGGCUGAAGUCGUACCGUAAGGAGCGGUGGACUGGUUACGAGUGAGAAUGUUGGCAUCAGUAGCGAGAUGUGGGUGAGAAUCCCACAGGCCGAAAACCUAAGGUUUCCUCAGGAAGGUUCGUCCGCUGAGGGUUAGUCGGGACCUAAGCCGAGGCCGAAAGGCGUAGGUGAUGGACAACUGGUUGAUAUUCCAGUACCACUACCAUCGUUAUUAUCGAUGGCGUG
rnacentral:rRNA from 1 species